GUGAGUGUGUGUGGGUGUUUAAAAUGGAGUAAAUGUGGACGUGGAACUGCUCCGUGAAACCAAAAUAACAACAGUCGUAGAUCUUCUUUGGUCAUUUAGAAAAUUCUUUUUUUUUUUUUUUUUUCCCAGCGCGGUGCACGUAUUUCCCUUCCAAAAAGAAAGAACGGGAAAGGAGAUGUUAAAGGCAAGCAGAGAGAGGAAAACUGUUUGCAAAACAAAAGCUGAGCUCCCGUCCGAGGGAGGCCUCCUCCAUUGGAGGCCUAGGAAAUCAUUCUGACAAAAUGGAGGAUCUCUGUCUUUCGUGUCGAUUCCCUCAGAGGUCAAGAGAAACCUUUUCCAAUGUCUUUAUCAGGAGGAGACUAGAAGUUAGAGAAAAGUAUCCUUUCGGGAGUGAGAAAAACAAAUUCUGAUUUUGCAUCAGCUUCCCUCCGAUCUUGAAACUCAUUGACUUGAUUCCAUUCUGUCGACGGAAAUAAUCCGGAACCAAUCUAUCCGUGAAAAUCGGGUGAGUUUAUUCUGAGCUAAAAUGUGAGGACUGUGGCCCGGGGCCUUUCUUCCCGAAGGAAGAGAGGGUGCCCGGGAAGUGGGGUGUACAGAGUGCUUCUAGACCCCCAGAGAGGACGUUUCACAUAGGAUCGAAAGGUCCCUUGGAUGAUAGUCGCGAGACUGCUCUGUCGGCACAGCGAUCGACAGACACUGCUGGGUGGCAGGUCUGUUGUCUGGGCCUGGGUGGUCACAGGGGAGCCGGAUGGUCAAAGGGCACAACCAAAGGGACGUCUAUCGACCCACCCACCAAGGAUUCCCCCCCCCCCCCCCCCCCCCCCGCACGGCACAGCAGGAUGCCUGAGAGAUCCACGCAGCCCUACAGCGGCAAGUCACAUUCGCACAGUCAAAAUUCAAUGGCAGAGACAAAACGUUAAGGUCAGUGGAGGGAAGAGAAUAACCGGCCCAGGAGCAACGGUGUGAAGAACACGGAGAAGACGGGUCCUAGACGCCGGGUCCCCC
rnacentral:lncRNA from 1 species